ACCGCUCCUCGGCCUUUUGGCUAAGAUCAAGUGGAGGAUCUGUUCUUAGGUUUAAUAUCUACCCGAGGCCAAUGCAGUCAAUGCACUUCUGGGAUCAGGAGUUGGAGUAGGAGCUUCCUCCGUCCACCCCAUGCAUUGACCUGGUAUUGCAGCACCUGCAGGAACGGUGCACCCCUC
ensembl:snRNA U2 U2 spliceosomal RNA